UUUGGAUGCCAUAGAAUUCUUCUAAGUCUUUCUUUUUCCUAUCAUUUGAUGGUUUGGUAAUUCAUCCUUGGAACCUAUAAAAUACCUACAAAGGUUUAUUUUGUAAACACAUUAGUCCCAAUGACAAUAUUGUCAUUAAUCACCAAAAUCAUUAUGGCCUAGGACCAUUUUCCUUAAAAAAUCAUAUGAAAAUGAUCAAAAUCCAGGUGCAAAUGCAUUUGGAUGCAAAUUCUCUGUAAUUUUUCAUCUAUU
rnacentral:lncRNA from 1 species